UUAAAGUUGCUGAGGAUGAGAAACACUAGUUUAAAAGAUGCCUCUCCAUUUUGCAAAAUCUAAGCCUAACAGUAUUCAUGUUUGGGGGGGGGGGAACAGAUUUUUGUUGGGGGAGUAUUUAUUAGAUUCACAAUACUGGGAGAUUGGGGAAAGGGGCUUCUCCAUGCAGAUGUUAUUUUGUUGUUCUUUAGGCCUCGUAACAGCAUGAUUAUCUUUGAGCAAACAUACAGCUUAAAAAUGGCACUUGUUCCAAACAUUUAUUAUAGGUAACUACAGUGAGACAAUCAAACAAACACUGAGAAGCCAAUGCAGUCCACACACAUUAGAAAACAGAACACUAAUAAUGUACUAUUCUCAGUAUAUCAGAAUGAGUCAGACCCUCAAAAAAAAAAAGAUCACUCAUAGAAAGCCGGUGCAAUACAUUUUGCUGCCUGAGGGAAAAGACAAGAUGAUAUCUCUUUAUUCAACAGACAUCAGCUGACCAUGUUGAUGGCUGCAUUUUGUUUCAGCACUACCAGUGAG